rnacentral:rRNA from 1 species
GACCCCGCACAAGUAGCGGAGCAUGUGGUUUAAUUCGAAGCAACGCGAAGAACCUUACCAAGUCUUGACAUCCUCUGACGUCAUUAGAGAUAGUGAUUUCCUUUCGGGGACAGAGAGACAGGUGGUGCAUGGUUGUCGUCAGCUCGUGUCGUGAGAUGUUGGGUUAAGUCCCGCAACGAGCGCAACCCUUGUGUUUAGUUGCCAGCAUGAAAGAUGGGCACUCUAAACAGACUGCCGUAGAUAAUACGGAGGAAGGUGGGGAUGACGUCAAAUCAUCAUGCCCCUUAUGACCUGGGCUACACACGUGCUACAAUGGGAUGUACAGAGGGUAGCGAAGUAGUGAUACGAAGCCAAUCUCAAAAAACAUCUCUCAGUUCGGAUUGCAGGCUGCAACUCGCCUGCAUGAAGUCGGAGUUACUAGUAAUCGUAAAUCAGAAUGUUACGGUGAAUGCGUUCCCGGGGUUU